rnacentral:tRNA from 1 species
UCAUAAUUUGCUAAGUAACAGUAAAGCGUCUGCCUGCAACGCGGGAGACCCGGGUUCGAUUCCUGGGUUGGGAA